UACAGAGACUGCAAGCGUUAUUCGGAUUCACUGGGCGUAAAGGGUGCGCAGGCGGUUUGGUGUGUCAGAUGUGAAAUCCCGAGGCUCAACCUCGGAACUGCGUCUGAAACUACUCGACUAGAGUACUGGAGAGGGUAACGGAAGUCACGGUGUAGCAGUGAAAUGCGUAGAUAGCGUGAGGAACACCAGAGGCGAAGGCGGUUACCUGGACAGUUACUGACGCUCAUGCGCGAAAGCGUGGGGAGCAAACAGG
rnacentral:rRNA from 1 species